AUUGAACGCUGGCGGCAUGCCUUACACAUGCAAGUCGAACGGUAACAGGUCUUCGGAUGCUGACGAGUGGCGAACGGGUGAGUAAUACAUCGGAACGUGCCUAGUAGUGGGGGAUAACUACUCGAAAGAGUGGCUAAUACCGCAUGAGAUCUACGGAUGAAAGCAGGGGAUCGCAAGACCUUGUGCUACUAGAGCGGCCGAUGGCAGAUUAGGUAGUUGGUGGGAUAAAAGCUUACCAAGCCGACGAUCUGUAGCUGGUCUGAGAGGACGAUCAGCCACACUGGGACUGAGACACGGCCCAGAAUCAGACGGCAGGCAGAGGUGGGGAAUGUUGGACAAUGGGCGCAAGCCUGAUCCAGCAAUGCCGCGUGCAGGAGGAAGGCCUUCGGGUUGUAAACUGCUUUUUUACGGAACGAAAAGCCGUGGGUUAAUACCCUGGGGUCAUGACGGUACCGUAAGAAUAAGCACCGGCUAACUCCGUGCCAGCAGCCGCCGUAAAAC
rnacentral:rRNA from 1 species